rnacentral:rRNA from 1 species
UACGGGGGGGGGCAAGCGUUGUUCGGAAUUACUGGGCGUAAAGGGCUCGUAGGCGGCCAACUAAGUCAGACGUGAAAUCCCUCGGCUUAACCGGGGAACUGCGUCUGAUACUGGAUGGCUUGAAUCCGGGAGAGGGAUGCGGAAUUCCAGGUGUAGCGGUGAAAUGCGUAGAUAUCUGGAGGAACACCGGUGGCGAAGGCGGCAUCCUGGACCGGCAUUGACGCUGAUGAGCGAAAGCCAGGGGAGCAAAACGGG